UUGCCCACCCCACAGGUAAUGAAUGCUUGCCCACCCCACAGGUAAUGAAUGCUUGCCCACCCCACAGGUAAUGAAUGCUUGCCCACCCCACAGGUAAUGAAUGCUUGCCCGCCCCACAGGUAAUGAAUGCUUGCCCACCCCACAGGUAAUGAAUGCUUGCCCACCCCACAGGUAAUGAAUGCUUGCCCACCCCACAGGUAAUGAAUGCUUGCCCACCCCACAGAUAAUGAAUGCUUGCCCACCCCACAGGUAAUGAAUGCUUGCCCGCCCCACAGAUAAUGAAUGCUUGCUCGAAAAAAAAGAAAGAACAAGAGGGCGUGGACAAAUGUUGAUUGCAGGCAAAUGUUUGACUUAUUUUCCCUCUCAAAUUGAGGGUGAGCAUUAAUCUAUCUAUCACUAUAAAUAUUUGACAGAUGACGUUGCUCAUGCUAACAUUCAAUUUUGAAAGAAUCUCAAAUUUCAUUAAAAGCUAUAGCAUUAAUUUCACAUGGAGGUCACGCUGCCAUGCCUGCAGGCAGAAGUCAUCAUUGACGGAGCAUCUCAUGCUCUUCCUGCAGAGGGGAUUCAACCCGUGUGUCUGGCCAGUCGUGACAUGGAUGUGUCAGGUGCACAAACAGGCGACCUGCACGGCACCGUUACGGGCUGGGGUUUCACUCAGAGAGGGACCACCAGUGAUCGACUGCUGCAAGUGUCGCUGCCGUUCGUGGAUAUGGCACGCUGCAACCAGACCUACGAAGGGAAACUGGUCGGCAAGCAGCUGUGCUUUGGAGGGACUGAAGGAAAGGACUCUUGCGGGAAUGACUCUGGGGGUCCCCUGACAGUGUCGCGUAAAACAGAGAAUCGACCCCCAGCGCUAGUCGGGGUCGUGUCCUUCGGCCCUGCUAACUGCGGGCAACAAGACGUGCC